CAGCAAAAAAAAAAACUAGGAAAAAGGACUGUGAAAUAAAUAAUGAUUACUUUAGUUUGUGCCCUGACCCGGUGAAGGAGGCCCCCAGUCAGGCGCAUUCAGAGAUCUGGGAGCUGAAGAUGCCUUGGCUGUCAGACAUGAGGUCGGGUGCAGUGCCAGCAGCCUGGGCCCCUCCUGGGACCUCCGGGCCACUAGCUGCAGGGAGGGGAGCAGCCCAUGCACCCUUGCCCCACUGACUGGGAACCAGGUCCCCUCUCCACAUCCAUCUGCCCAAAAGAGAUGCUAUUGAAGUAUUUAAAAAUCACUACUGUGUCACUUUUCUGAGCCACUUUUCCCCAUCAAACCCAUUCUUCUGGUCAAGUAGGGAUAAUCUGCAACAGGAAUUAGGGGAAGGUUGUGGGAGAAGUCACUUGAGUAAACAGCAGAAAUGUGCCUGUUGACAUCUCCUCGGAGGUUCCUGUCUGAAUCACCCCACAGCGGGCCCCUAGGCGGUCUGACUGCGGGGGCGGGGGACCCGAGGUCACAUCUCUCUGGCCACAAAGCCCGCGACAGGUCGGGGCAGACAAACCUGUCUGCAAGCGCCGCAUUUGCACGCCUCGACCUCCAGGUGGCGCUAGACUAGGACGGAGCAUGCAGUCUGUCACCCGUGUGCGGGGCGGGGCCUUGGAAAUGCUGACUUCUGAUUGGCUGGGCUCAGUCUCGCUUUCUUUUCGUGUCCAGAGCAGGUCUUGGGGAGGGCGCCCAGUCUCGGCGCCUGAGCUAAGCAGGAGGAAGUGUGUGCGUACGUGUGUGUUUCAUGUUAUUUUUUUUCUUUACAAUUAAAACUGUUUCCAUUUUUUCAUACUUUAUAAGGCAUCUCAUAAAUUUACACACCAGGGAACAUCCCUGGUUGGACCUAUUUAUAAUAAACAUCAUUUAUUUAUAAGGGAGCCAAGGUUUAGGGCCUACCACUCAGCCAGACCUUCCUUUUUGGUUUCCCUAGUCUUUGACUGUUGCACGUGCAUUACCAAUAUAACUGUACCUUGGAUGUCUUUUAUUUGCACAUUUGACGACUGCUUGUUAAGCUUCCACUAUCUGCCAGGCGUUGGGCGGGGCUUUGCGGAGUCAAGGCGAGCAGAACAGACCUGGCCCUGCCCGCAAGGAGGUCGCAGACGUGAACCAGCAAUCACAGACACCUCAAGAUGCAGAGAAUAAGGCGUGACCUGUCUGAGGUCACACUCUAGAAAGGAGCAGCAUCAGGACUCAGAUGCAGGUAUUUGUCCAUAAGCACUCAUCUUAGUCACCAGGAAUGUUGGGGAACACAGUUUUACGUGCUGUGAGGAGACCUGAAGAAAUAUGUCACCCUCCCUGCCCUCAGGGAGCUUACAGUCCAUCCAGGAAGAGGAGAAGAGCACAUGUCAAAAAGCUUCAAGGUUCCAGGUCGUAUGUGUUGAAUGAAUGGAGACAUGAAGCAUAAACGUUUCAAGGAAGGUGUGCGUCUGGGCUGGGUGGCUGCUAACUUCAUGACUGGGACAACACUGAAGACUCUUUCCUGAUACUCUUCAAGUGCUUGUUUCUCUAAAACUACCACUCCUUUCUGGUUUAUAGCCCAGGGCCAUCCUGGACAGUCGCCACCAGGCCUGCCAUCACUAUGGGGUGGCCCAAGGCCAUGUCUGCCAGGAACACCACCAUUUGGUAUUUAUCUAUGCAAAAUUUACAUUGACCGCUGAUGAGCAAAACAGUGCGCUCCACAUAUAGAUUGAGGGUGUGGGGCUUUUGCCACUGGAGUUCCCCCUGUGUUGAGUCACGGUGGCAGAAGGCACAGUGACAGAAGUCCCUGGGAGCCGCUGACUGGCGCUUGGAGGACUGAGUGAUUCAGCAGCGAGGCCCCCCUCUGGCCCUCCUGCCCCAGAAAGCUCUGGAUCUGCACGGAAGCAGCACGGUAAAGGGUGGACGAAUUGUGGGUGUGGAUGCUUUCCCACAAGUCUGUGCUCCCCAGUUCAGUUGUCUGGGCUCUUAUUAAAAGGGUUCGUUCUCCUCCUUAGAGUCAGACGGAGGCCCCCUGUGGGCUGCUGCUUGGGAACGGCCGGGGGUGUUCUCUGGCUGGGGCUUCAGAGGAUGCAAGGACAACCCCACAGAGCAGGAACAGCCUGCCAGUUCCAUGCCCGCAGCGGCCCCCAGAGCAGCUGCCCCAGGACACACGGAUGAGAGGGGAGGGUGUCAGAGGGGCUUCGGUAGACUUGUUGCCAUGGAAGAACUGUGGGACCAGUACAGCCAGACAUCCUAACUUUUCCAGAGAAGCCAUAAAUCUGGAUUUUCCUGUGAAGUCUUCUGACAUUUCACCCUUUGCAACCCAUUAAAUUGUUUUAAAAACA